rnacentral:lncRNA from 1 species
GGCUUCCUAGGGCUUGAGAAGGUGGAGGUUGCUCUGAGGGUGAGCUGUGGGGGCUUCAAACCCACAGUGAAAUUCGAAAGUGGCCCCUGAAGGCAAGGGAGAGGCCGAAGGAAGAGGCAGGCCACUCCAGAAGGGUAGGCGGCGGGAUUUAAAAGGCGAGGGAACUUACCGAGGACACUUGGCCGGGGCGGCCACAAGACGAGUAGAUUGGCACCUGCUGGCCGGCCCCUGCAGGAUUUUAUAGAGACCCCAGUGGGGUUCGGUCACAUGUGCGCCCCACGUGGUAUCAACGCCACGAUACCCUCUCAAGCCUGCAUCCUCAGAAAGGGCAGGACGGGGGAGGGGUGAGCAGCCUGCCAUUGUCCGGCCAGCCGACUGGCCUUCUGAAUGACCUCGAGCAACAGGCCACAGCCAGAGGUUAAGAAGCAAGCCCACUGCAGGGCUGAGGUGGCCAGAUGAGGAGAAGAGGUGACGGGCACUGAAGAUUGCACUUCUGGACUCUUUCAUCCGUAUCUCUCUACUCCCAUUUGCUUUUUUUUUUUUUUUUUUUUUAAACCUCCUCCUGGCUGGAAGCAUCUGCUCCUGGUUUAACACCUGGAGUCGUCAGGAGCCACCACGUGGCACCCACCGGGGAGGAGAGCAGAGUGAAAAGAUUAGAAGCCAGCCCCAAGCCAGAAGUUGUGACGGCUCUGGAAUUGCUGCCCGUUCCACUGCCUCUGCCUGCCCUCCAGAGGGGCAAGGCAAACAUCCGAGUCCUCCAGGGCGGAAUCGGCGGGGCUGAUGAGACAGCUGGAGGCCAGAGGGGGCGGCAGCGUGGGAUGCUCAGCCAGGCACGGAAGCUGGCAGAAUUUUCCAAGAUGCACAUUGACUCUUCCUGUCAAGGUGGAAGGCUCUAAAGCCGCCUGGGGCAGCUAGAUUGCAUUUGCCAAUCGCGGACUGCUGUCGCCAAUUUGUUCCUGAUCUCAAGGU